rnacentral:tRNA from 1 species
UCCUCGACGUGCUGGACGGCGCGCCCGGCGACCUUGCUGACGGCGGCGGCGGGUUCGACUCCUGCGCCGGCGACCC